rnacentral:rRNA from 1 species
UCCGUCCUACGGGAGGCAGCAGUGGGGAAUAUUGCACAAUGGGGGAAACCCUGAUGCAGCAACGCCGCGUGAGUGAAGGAGUAUUUCGGUAUGUAAAGCUCUACCAGUAGGGAAGAAGAAAGACGGUACCUGACUAAGAAGCCCCGGCUAACUACGUGCCAGCAGCCGCGGUAAUACGUAGGGGGCAAGCGUUAUCCGGAUUUACUGGGUGUAAAGGGAGCGUAGACGGCUGUGCAAGUCUGAAGUGAAAGCCCGUGGCUCAACCGCGGAACUGCUUUGGAAACUGUAUGGCUUGAGUACUGGAG